rnacentral:rRNA from 1 species
AUUGAACGCUGGCGGCAGGCCUAACACAUGCAAGUCGAGCGGAUGAAGGGAGCUUGCUCCUGGAUUCAGCGGCGGACGGGUGAGUAAUGCCUAGGAAUCUGCCUGGUAGUGGGGGAUAACGUCCGGAAACGGGCGCUAAUACCGCAUACGUCCUGAGGGAGAAAGUGGGGGAUCCUCGGACCUCACGCUAUCAGAUGAGCCUAGGUCGGAUUAGCUAGUUGGUGGGGUAAAGGCCUACCAAGGCGACGAUCCGUAACUGGUCUGAGAGGAUGAUCAGUCACACUGGAACUGAGACACGGUCCAGACUCCUACGGGAGGCAGCAGUGGGGAAUAUUGGACAAUGGGCGAAAGCCUGGUCCAGCCAUGCCGCGUGUGUGAAGAAGGUCUUCGGAUUGUAAAGCACUUUAAGUUGGGAGGAAGGGCAGUAAGUUAAUACCUUGCUGUUUUGACGUUACCAACAGAAUAAGCACCGGCUAACUUCGUG